rnacentral:rRNA from 1 species
CCUACGGGUGGCAGCAGUAGGGAAUAUUGCUCAAUGGGGGAAACCCUGAAGCAGCAACGCCGCGUGGAGGAUGAAGGUUUUCGGAUUGUAAACUCCUUUUGUUAGAGAAGAUAAUGACGGUCUCUAACGAAUAAGCACCGGCUAACUCCGUGCCAGCAGCCGCGGUAAUACGGAGGGUGCAAGCGUUCCUCGGAAUCACUGGGCGUAAAGAGCGCGUAGGCGGGAUAGCAAGUCAGAUGUGAAAUCCUAUGGCUUAACCAUAGAAGUGCAGUUGAAACUGUUGUUCUAGAGUGAGCGAGAGGUAUGUGGAAUGCGUGGUGUAGGGGUAAAAUCCGUAGAGAUCAAGAGGAAUACCCAUUGCGAAGGCGGCCUGCCGGAGCUCAACUGACGCUGAUGCGCGAAAGCGUGGGUAGCGAACAGGAUUAGAUACCCUUGUAGUC